UACGAAGGGGGCUAGCGUUGCUCGGAAUCACUGGGCGUAAAGCGCACGUAGGCGGCUUUGUAAGUCAGGGGGUGAAAUCCCGGGGCUCAACCUCGGAACUGCCUUUGAUACUGCAAGUCUCGAGUCCGAUAGAGGUGAGUGGAAUUCCUAGUGUAGAGGUGAAAUUUCGUAGAUAUUAGGAAGAACACCAGUGGCGAAGGCGGCUCACUGGAUCGGUACUGACGCUGAGGUGCGAAAGCGUGGGGAGCAAACAGGG
rnacentral:rRNA from 1 species